rnacentral:lncRNA from 1 species
GAUGCAUUUGAUUUAGUGAUGGAUGAUCUAAUACUAUUAUUCAGAAGACUAGUGGAUACCAAUUGCGCAGCUUAGUCAAGUACACAACUUUUUAUUCAAGAUCCUAAUCAAAUUGCCAUGAAAGGUCAUCGAACAGAGAAUAGAAUUAAGAGCGGACUCGAGAAGUUAAAGAAAAAUAUGAACAAGACUUCUAUUGAUAAAUUUUUUGAACAAAAUCAAAAAAGGUUUGCAAAAAGAUAAAGGAACACUUUUCAUCAAGUAGCAGAAGUAGUCUAACAAACAAUUAAAAGCACUAUACCAUAUGCCGAUCUAUAUUUAGAUGAAUUUGAUGCUUAUGUAUGAAAUCAACUAAUGCAAG